rnacentral:snoRNA from 14 species
GAGGAGAGGAGAGGAAGAGAGGUAAAGAGGGAAGAUUGGAAGAGAGGAGAUGAGAAGAGGAGAGAUGUGAUGGUGGAUUGAUAGAACAUUUCUCCUCCUCUCAUCUCUCAUCCUCCUCUUCCUCUCCUCUCCUCCUAUCCUCCUCUCUUCUCCUCC